CUGCAUUCUAAAAGAAACCAUUACAAAAAUAAGGAAAAAUGAAUUUUACAAACUAUGUCAUAUGUUUUCUUUGUUUCCUAAAUAUAACUCUGAUUAGAAUGUCAAACAAAGAGAAAAUCAUCCGUAUUAAUCGUCAAUAUCGUUUAUAUUGUUAAUAUGAGCGUCUUUGCGUUAAAUUCGUGCUACACCACACCAUGCACUUAUAUCGACGUCGCAAUGCAAAAGAAGAAGGGCAAGAAAGAAACCUGUCCUGGUCUGGCGAUUUAAGGGGACAUUUGUUUAAGUCUAGAAAGAUGUUGGAGAAAAGACAUCAUCCUCUUCUAUAAUCUCCAUCUGUAAUUGGACUAACAACUGGACCAGUGAAUGCAGGCAACUUACUCUCCAUUCGACCUUGCAGGUCACACCAUGGUCUCAAGAGGGAAAAUGAGUGGAUUGAACAGAAAAAGGUGAAUCAAAACUCCAACCAUCUGUAUGAGGGUCUGGAUGGAUAAAGGAUGCCCACUGGAGCUGGAAAUGAUGGAUCAGGUGGAUCCACACUUGAACCAUCUGUAUGAUGAUCUGCACCCACUGGAUCUGUAAAUGGUGGUGCAGAAUUCUGGCCUGGUGUUUGGUCCCCCCUUUCUCUGGCUUGUGUCUCCAUCAUCAUUACACUCUUGUCAGUGUAAUAGUAUCGUCGUCUGCAUACCAGGACUUUGUUACUCAGCUGUCCCUUCUCCUUCAAGCUACAUUUUUGUCAAGCUGCAACAAGUUGGAAUACAUAAUUAUUAACGUUUAAUGAUUUUGAUGUAUGAAAUAUGUAACAAAAGCAAAAAAUGUAUAGACAUUCUAUUAAGAAAUUACCUUUUUGUUGUUUGUUUACUGACCUUUCAACCAUAUUGCAUUUAUAAUUGAUCAUCAUACCUUUGGUCUACUGUUAACAGGCUACUGUAGAAAACAAAGUCAAACAAAAAAGAGAGAAAAAAUUAUAAAUGCUGAAUGUGUCUCAUCUUAAAUACAUUGUUGUUGUUUUUGUUUCAUUGAAUUUGGAUGUUUUGAUGAUUUAAGGAAAAUUUACGUAGCAUAUAUAUUGAUGUUUUAAAUCAGAGUUUGUUAAUGACACUUAAUCAUUAACAAACAUUUAAAAAGCUUUAUUACAAUACUAAUUGAUAAUAUUCAUGUAAUAAUCUUGUUUUGUAACACCCUAAAUCACUGAGCGCACAAACGCUACCCCUGUUACAAGCAUGAGUGAUUGACUUCAGGCACACAUGCGCAGACAUUGAAGUACCGCGAGAGUGAUUCAAAAGCCCACGAAACAGUGUAAUCACGCGGUACUGUGAUGUCAUACUGGUUAAGGCUAAGCCACGUGAAGCCGGACACAAGGGCUACACUAAUCUUUGGGCUGGAGUAGCCUGGGCUUCGUGUCUCAUCGCGUUAAACGAUCGCAGAACGAUUUAUUUCUCUUUUUCACCUCGAUCUUUGGCCUCGUGUGAUUUACCAAAACCAACAUGUGAAGUUACAACGCUGACGAAGGAGUUUCAUCAGUAGAGUGUGUCCUGGAAAACGUGUGCUCGGAAACAUGCAGAAUACAGUAUUUACAGAGCCGACCUUGAGGCACCCACUGAUGGAUAAUCUGUUUACCUAAAAACAGCCCACCACAAUCCAUGUUUACCAGCUGUGGAAGUGCAGGCCAAAAAUCUUCCUUCACCUGUGGGCCUCUACCCACAUGUAGAUAAGCAUUUCAGGAGAAACCUGCCUGUGAUCUGCUAAGAUGCACAGAUUCAACUCUGGCCCAUUGUCAUCCCAACACCUCAUCUGCCAUCAGUUUCGUUUAGUGUCGGUCUAUUGCAAAAGUUCUUAUAAACUUUAAAUGAGACUUUGUGUUAAGCAGGGGUUUCCAAACUUUUCAUUCCACAACAUAUUAAGCCCAGGAUACACAGCAGGAUUUUUGCAAUCCAAUAAGACCUUAUCACACUGUGUGACAAGGAUUGUUUAAACUUCAGCAGUAGACUGUCGAUGAAGACACCUAUUGCAUCUGAAGCUGCGACAUCUGUCAUCAACAUGCGCUAGUGGUAAACAAAUACAGGUAUGCAGGUCGUAGAAGCAAACACAUUGUUGAUGUGCGUUGAUCAUGCUGAACUUCUUACACUGUCAUAAAACUAUCGUAGGUGUCUUUGGUCCCAGGACUGGGAAAACAGACGUCUUUAAACCUCUCACACUGUAUGAGAUAGGACCACCAAUUAAGAGCCACGAUCACAGAAAUCUCCACAAUUGUUUCACGAUUGGUAAUCUUUCAUCUGGGACAGCCAAAAAUCGUGCCGUGUAUUAUGGGCUUUAGACAGGUGUAAUCUUAUAGUAUAUCAAAACCAUUGCUAAUAAUUAAUUGGACAAACCAUCACUACAAUGCAACACUCACUAUCUUACGGUGCGACCCACAAGUGGGUCUUCACCCACAGUUUAAAAACCCUGAGUAUGAGAAAGAGUAUGUUGUAUUGUAAUUAAAGUCACAUCUAAGUGUUAUGGAACAGUUUGUCAUUAUAUUCAAAGUAUUACAUGGUUCUUUCAGCAGUUACUACGUUACAGUGCUCUUAAAGUGUCCUGAUCAGCUUUGGGUCUUGUGAAGUAAUAUAAUGAGAACGUGAUCAAUAGCUUUGCAGUAUUUUGUUACACUGUGGCUGUAAUCAUAUUAACACAUAGGUUAAACAUUUUAUUCAAAUUUGGUAAACAAACUAGUCAAUAUAAUUCAUGCUGUGAUGCUGGAUUAAACCUGGUCAAAUGAUUGUGUAUUGUGUUUUCAAUUUUUUAUGAGGUUUCUUCAUCUAUAUAAACAUUCUCAAUAUCA